GAUGUUGAGGCAAGAAAAAAAAUCCAAGUGCAUAUUGACCCUUUUCACUAGGAAAGAGUUGGUGGACGAAGGGAAGUCAGGGAGUAAUUUCUAAUUGUCUAAUUUCAGGCCAGUCUCCCAGGUUUAAGGCUCACCUAAGGAGUGGAAAACCUGAGGGGUGAGGGUCUGUGUUGGUCAUAAUUCUCUCAGGUUACAAACUUCUCUUCCUCUAUUUCAGACACCAGUGAUCCCUAGCCUGCUUCUACUUUAUCUCUACCAAAGUCUGAUUAUUCCUGCAGGGUCAUCCCAGGUACUGCUGCAAUGCCACUCAUGGUCUCGGAUAAAAAAGACAUCACCCUAAUACUGAAAAUGGGAAGAACAGGACAUAGAGGCGCCUGAGAACUCCAAUAGGCCAUAGAGAUCAUUUGAACCUGCCCUUGCCAUCUCGCAGGGGUGAAACCACCUGAGAAGGGUGCACAGGUGGCUGAGCAGAGCCAGACCAUGACCCAAGAUCAUGGCAGGUCUUGCCUGAAGAACCCACACCAACUCCAGGACCUUCAGGAAGUCCUUCCCAGCGCCCUGUUUGCUGCUUCUGGUGGUUCUGGGAGAGCUCAGAGUCCAUCAUCUGCUGGGUGGAAAGAAUGUGCUACAGGUGGUUCGCCUGCUCCGCAGAUGGGUGUAGGCACCAAGGAGAGUCCUCUCUGCCCUGUAAGCUUAUCUGCCAAGCACCAGUGCCCUUCCAUGGUUCUGACUCCGAGACUGCUGGUACAGCCUUCCAAAGAAAGAACCUGGAAUCUUCUGCACCUCCAGGCCCACCUUUGCUGGCCUUUUCCUGGCAGCUUUGUUGACAGAGCCCUGCUCUCCGAGGAAUUUGCUAACCAGGGAAGCUGCAUUUAUUUAAGCUCCCCCCUGAAGGCCUACCUGGCAUGCAGUGCUGUCUAGCACGGAGCAGGCCCUGAAAAUAGCACGUGACAGUUGAAUGAACGGGUCCAGGAAUAAUGCGUCACUGGACAUCACCCACACAGAAAAGCCAGGACAAGGUGGAAACAGAGUUGAGGUGUACAGCAUAGUGAUUCUGGAUGGAGACCGAUGGUCUUAGCCCUUCCAGCCACGCGGGGUUGUGUUACAGCCCUGCUCGCCUGGCCUGGCUGCCAGGACUCUGAGGGGGAAUUGGUCAGUCUCCACAGGAAGGAGAUGACCAUGCAGGUUGGACCCACGUGGGACCUGCGGCUGCCAGAGCCUCUCCCCUUCUACAACCUUUGGAGACUCAUUAAACACGCGCUCAGCGCCCCUCACAACUGCCCUGCCCUUCCCUCCUCGGGCCUCUCCCUGGGUCAGCCCUGCUCCUGGCGGGGAGGAAGGAACCUCCUCUGAGUCAGGCCUGAGGAGUAGCUGUUGCUUCACCCUGGCCCCCAAGGGCUUGGAGAGCUGACCUGCUUUGUCCACAGGAAACUGUCCGGCUCAGGCCAGAGCAUGGAGUUUGAUGUGAAUAAGCAGGGGGGAAAAGUGUCUUCAUUUUUUUCUUCUUCAGAUUGGAUUUAAUUGAAAACAACCACUCAACCCAACACUUUCCUUUCGGGUCCAGCGCCAGCUUCUGAGUCAGAGGAGGGACCUGAGGCUGGCACCCCAAGUCCAGAGAGGGUGGCCAUGGCCCAAGGGCUCGGGAACACAGGUCUUUGAAAGGAUGUGGGGCUCAGAGCAGCCAACUGCUCAGGCUUCCUGCAUCCACCAUGGGACUGAAAGGGGACAGAGUGGGGCCAACCCUGGUCUGGGCGGGGGUCAGAGGAGGGAGGCCCAAGGCUCUCCUGCCCCAGCGGCACCCACCAGUUGAGUGAGGGUGCUUCCCUUCCAAGCUCUACAGAGUCUCUGAAGAGGAGCAGGCUGUUGCAGACGCGCCAGGAAGGCAGCACUGGAAGAGGCUCCUGGCACCGGAUAGGGAGCGGGCUGGGGCUGGGGCUCCCUCCCUCUGGCUCACUGGGAAGCCAAUGCCACUCUGACAUCAUGGAUGAAAGUCAGGUCUGGCUUUCAAACAUUGGGGCUGCUCCUCCCAGCUCAGCCUGGCCAGCUGGACCCUCCCAAAACGGGAUCUCUUUUGUCAGCUGCCUUUUAUAGAACUAUAAAACCAGAAGUUCAAGUAAGAAGCCUUAGACCAGUCACCAGAAGAGUCAGGCUUUGCCUCUUCUGCUCACCUGCCUUCUCUCUCCUCACUGCAGCGGCUUCCACUACUGGCAGAGCCCAGUUGUUGCCUUCCAUCUCAGCCCUUUGUAGACCCCACAACACCCAGAGGCACAUGAACCUGCCCAGGAGGGGGGAACCUGUACAUGUGCUUUGGAAUUAGGGGAAAGGAAAGGGAAGAGGGGCAGUUAGGCUGCCAUUACUUGGGAGAAAGAAAGACACUUCUGUAAGGCAGUAAAAGAACACAUACAGAAUUGGAAAACGUAAAAGAAGCAACCCGGGAGCACAGUCCAUGAGAACGAGACCUUUGCCAAAUAACUGUGACCUUUGCUGCUUCAAAUUCCUUCUUCAAUCAGUGGCAUCCUUUGGCCAAAGAAUAAAGGAAUAGGGUGGUGGGCCACCAGAUGACCUAUGGUUAGCUGAGCUUGGAAGGGAGGAGAUAUUAGACAUUUGGACCUUGAGAAAGGGGUUGAAUUCCCUUCUCCUUAUGUCAAGAAUGGGCCAUAGUAGUUUCUAAAUUAAUUACAGUGGCAGAAAGAAGCAAAUGGAUGAAAUCAGUUAUUUUUGACUUAAAGAAAUUGGAUCAGUAUCAACUGUGAUUCUUGGGAGAAUGAGACGACUUCUACAGUUUAGGAAGUGCCAUCUAUACUCCAAGCACAUGAGGAAUAAACCAAAACCAAAGGAACUCACCCCAAGGUCCAAGAUGGUGGCUGAGUUAGCACAGCCACACCUGUGGGACCAUCUCGUCUUCCUUCAGCUUAAAGGAUUAACAUGAAGUGGAAGGAAAGGUGUUAGUAAAACCAUUCUUUGCUCAAAUUAAAUAACUUAUCUUGACUUGAUAAGAGAUUUUUUUUCAAGGUGUAACACAUGGGAACUUUCUUCUCUUGGCCUUGAGUUAUUUGCAUAUACCUUCAGCAUUAACAUUCCUGUGGGUCUCACAGAUCAUAUCUGGCUGUUAUAUAACUGGCAUUAUAAGAUUGGGAAGGAUCUUGAUGAUAAUACCUAGGUCAAAGUCUUUAAUUUAUGAAUGAGAGAGGUUAAACGACAUGCUUUGUAUACGCCUACAUUUAUUCAUCCAAGAUUAUUAUUACUAUCGCUCUUUUUGUUCUUGCUGUUAUUAUUUAGCACCUACACAUGGUAAACAUUGUUCUGCACACUGGUGAGUCAUUGGUGAACAAAAGGGGGAAUAUAAUCUUGUUUUGUGAAGCUUACAGACCAGUUGGAGAAACUGACAUUAAACAACAUGAACAAAUGUAAGAAUGGUACCUUUUCAGGAAAAAUGAUGAAGAAAACAGUGAAAGAGGUGACAGUGCCUGAGAUGCAAUAGCCAGGAAAGACCUCUCUAAGCAGGUGACCUCUGUAGUGAGCUCUCUAUGAUGGGACAGAGCCAACACGAGAAGCUUGGAGACAAGUGUUUUUGAGGCCAUGGGAUGGCAAGGGCCUAGGCCCCCAGGCUGGAACGAUCCAGGUGUUCUUUUGAGGCAGAGAUAGAAUAGUGUAGCUGAAGUAUAAUGAGUAGAAUGAUCAUGGACCAGAGCAGGAUAAAAUGCACUGCCCACCACCCUGCUUACAGUUGUCCCUAUGGAAGACCCAUAAAGCUUUGUGUGGUCCAGGAAUGAAUGUGUUCUUUGUGAGACCAUCCCUCCCCUGUUGUAACUAAUCUUGUUCUACAAACUCUUGCAGGGAACAAGCCCAAGGAGAAAGCUGGUUCCCCACCCAAGACACCAUCAAGACUCCUCCCCUCACGCACGCCAUUGCAGUUUACCACCAAAAAUUUACCAGCCUGCCAGAACAUCAAUGGCCACUCCGACCAUCACAUCCUGUUACGGACUGGCCUACUGACUUGGAAAUCUCCUACCCAGCUUCAACCCAGCUCCCCACCGACUCUGCACCUACACCAGAAGAUCUGAAUACAACUGGAGAAAAACAUAAAGCGGAGCUGUCUGUCUGGUCACGUGCAUUUUUUACCACAAACCUCACUAGGGACCUCAGCAUUGCCUGGCAAUCCUACUACCUUCUUCUGGUCAAUUCACAAUCCCAUUCUCCAAGGCCAUUAUUUCACAGCUUUUCUCCCCUUACAGCCACCUCCUCACUCUCAGUUGAUGACCUCAUAUUUAUUCACUGAGAAAACAGAAGUAGGCAGAAGAGAACGCCCUCAUCCACCUAAAAUGAGUCACCUGUCACCUCCUUCAGUACCCAUAUAUCCUGCCUUCCCUGCAGACUGUAGCCAUCGGGGACCUACUCUGUUGCUGGUCCACCAUCUCCCAUCCUGUCUUGCCUACUUAAAGACUGCUCCUCAAUCAUGUCCCCUUCCCUCAAUAUCAUCUCUUCUCUCUGUGUCUCAUUCUCAUCAGUCUCUAAGUGCACUGGAAUAUCUCCCCUUUCCUGAAGGCUUCUUCUAGCCAUCAAUUUAAAAAAUAUAUAUAUUUUUUAUUGAUUUCAGAGAGGAAGGGAGAGGGAGAGAAAGAUAGAAACACAAAUGAUGAGAGAAAAUCUUCUAUCCACUGCCUCUUGUACACCCCCUUCUGGGGAUUGAGCCUGCCAUCCGGGCAAGUGCCCUGACCAGAAUCAAACCAUGACCACCUGGUUCAUAAGUCGAUGCUCAACCACUGAGCCUACCUAUCACUUGACUUUCUUUUUGCCAUAGACCAAAACGCCUUGAAAUUGUGACCUAUAUUCGGCCUCCACUUCUUCACCUUAUGAGCUCUUCUCAAUCCUUCCUUACCAGGCUUUUGCCUACUGUUACAUGUUCUGGUCUCAGCCGUUGGCCAUAUUAAAAGACUAAUUUUCAAUCCUUACCUGGAGAUCAUAGCAACAUGUAGAAUAGCAAUCUUUCUUCACUUGGCUUUUAUUUAAAAACCAUUUUAUUGAUUUUUACACAGAGAAAGGGAGAAGGAUAGAGAGUUAGAAACAUCAAUGAGAGAGAAAUAUCAAUCAGCUGCCUCCUGCACACCCCCUACUGGGGAUGUGCCCUCAACCAAGGUACAUGCCCUUGACCGGAAUCGAACCUGGGACCCUUCAGUCUGCAGGCCGACACUCUAUCCACUGAGCCAAACCGGUUAGGGCUUCACUUGGCUUCUUGUAUGUUAUACUUUCCUGGUUUUCCUGCUACUCUUUUUCAAUCUCCUUCCCUUCAUUCCUCCACCUCUCCCCAUCCUCUACAUACUCUUUUGCACCAGAGAUUAGCUCUUGCCCUUCUUCUCUUCUGUAUCUACACAGUCUAGCAGAUAUCAACCAGAAUCAUGGCUUUAAAUAUCUAUAUGUUCAUGACUCAUUUAUCUUUAGACCUAAUCUCUCCCCCUGAAUUCCAGACAUGUAUAUUCAACUACCUACCAGACCUCUCCACCCCAAUAUCUAAUAGAUAUGUUAAAUACAAUAUGCCCCAAAUGGGAAUCUUGACCUUUCUCUACCCUCUCCUCCCCAUAUAUGCUCCUCCCACAGAUUUCCCCAUCUUAGUGAAUGGUGUCACCAUUCUCCAGCUCUUCAGGUCCCAAGCAGAGCACUCAUCCUUGUACCCUUUCAUUGCACAGACAAAUUCAUCAGUCAACACAUCUCACUGCAGUGCAUGCCAAAGCUACAAAGAAGAAUAAACAGGGUGUGGGGAUAGAAUGUACCAGAAGGCAGGGAAGGUUGGAGGCAUUAUUUGUUCAUCAUGGUCAAAGACAGACUCUGAGAAAGUGACAUUAAAGCAAAGAUUUUCCUGAAACAGAAAGGCACAAGCUCCUGCAGGAUCUGGAAGGAAAGCACUCGAGCUGAGGGCAGAGCAAGUGUGCAGGUCAUGAGGUCCGGAACAUGGCAUGUCUGAGGAGGACAGCAAGUUUUGAGUGCCUGAGCAGACGGAAGAGUGAUGACCAUCGACAGGGGCCAGACUAUGAAGGAUCUUGUCAGCCGGGAUUGGCCUGAUGCUUGUGUUUCAUUCUAAUUGUUAUGGGAAAGUAAUAGACAGUUUUCAGCAGGAGACUAUCAUGAUCUGAUAUAUGUUUUAUAGAUAGUGCUGGUUCCCUGGUGGAAAUGAAUUGUAAGAGACCAAGAGAAGAACAGUGAGUCCGGAUAGGAGCUUAUUGCAAUAUUAUAACUUUUUCUAUAAAGGGCUGUGCUAAGGGCUGAAUGUUUGUGGUCCCCUAAUAGCCAUACAUUGAAACCCUAAUCGCCAAUGGGAUGGUAUUGGGAGGUGGGGCCUUUGGGAGGCGAUUAGGUCAUGAGGGUGAAGCCCUCAUGAUGGGAUUGCUGCCCUUAUAAGAAGAGACAGGAUCUAUCUCUCUCUCUCUCUCUCUCUCUCUCUCUCUCUCUCUCUCUCUCUCUCUCUCUCUCCCUCUGCCAGGUGGGAAUAUAACACAAAAAUGACCAUCUGUAAACUAAGAAGAGGUCCUUCACCAAGCACCCAUCAAUGCUGGCAUCCAAAUCUUGACCUUCCCAGCAUCCCAGCAUCCAGAACUGUGAGAAAUACAUGUCUAUGGCAUUUUUGUUAGAGCAGCCCGAGCUGAGACAGGCUAGGGAGUAAAUCUUUUAGGCUUUGCUGCCAUAAGGUCUCUGUCACAACCACUGAAUUUGGCUGUUGCAGUGCUAAUUCAGUCACAGCCAAUCUGUAAAUUAGUGCACGUGUCUAUGUGCCAAGAACACUUAUUAACAGGGCCUGGGCUGGAUUUGGCUUGUGGGUCAUAGUUUGCAGACUUCUGUUCUAAACCCGAAAUGCUGACGGAUUGGCCUAGGCCUAUCAUAUGGGCAUAGUUUUAGAGGUUACUCUGGACAGUUACUCUUGCUGUUGCUGGAUUAAAUGUGGGAGCAAAGACACUCCUUUGAGAUUCACUUUUUAAUUAUUCCAGUGUGUCACGCUGCUUCUACAGGUGUUUCUUCAUUUUUCUUUUUUUUUUUGUCAUUCCUCAGACGAUACUAACAUUUAUAUUUCUAUGAGAGUAAAAUAAGAUAGCUAUUCAUGGAAAAGGAAAUACUGAUCUCACUUAGUGGGAAAUAAGCUAAACUCUACCCAGAGGGCACUGAUUUUAUGUGGAAGCAAAAUAUUCUCCUCCAAACUAACCUCCUAACCCCAUGAUACUCAGCUCACCAAUGUGUGUGUGUGUGUGUGUGUGUGUGUGUGUGUGUGUGUGUGUGAUGAGUGUGUCCUCUCCAAUGGGGAGGAGUCUUUUACCACUGAAGUUGUUUAGAAUUGCUAGUACAAGAUGCCAAUAAAAAGACCAACCAUUCAGUGCUUUCCUGAUUGCUUUUACAUUUUCUACCUUCAAUUUACCAUGGUAUUGCCUGUGUCCAGGGCACACCCACCCACCGCCCCACUCCCGUGGCACAUUAUUGUCUGAUCGGUCCCAAGGAAACAGUGAAGGCCCUGGGCUAAUACUUCUGCAUGAAAACGAUGAGACACAGAUACUUUAGUCCUAACUCAACCAUACGUUUUAUGUGUGAUAUUGAGAACAACCUCCCAUGAAGAAAAAGAAAAAGGAGGAGAAAAAGAGAGUGAAAAAAAAGUCAUUUAAGAAAUGAAUGAGGUGUCACUAUAUAUCUACAAUUUCCCCAAGGACAGCAACUGGUGGAUACAGAGUAUUAAAUAGCAAUGGGGGCCCUGCUGAGCAUAAACUCAAUGCACGAGGGAGAGCCGGAGAGGUAACCUGUGUGCCCAGCAACUUUCCACUCCCCCUUCCCUGCGCCGUCCGGGCUGCCAUCCCCUGGCUGGGAACACACUGUGCCGGGCUGGGCUGCAGAGCCUUCUCGGUGUAGUAAUAAAGUGCACACUUAUAAUGUUGGGCCGCGUGACAAGAACAACAUGGAAUAACACUCUACCCACCCACUGAGAAAACCAAGUGUGUCACACUCCUCUGUGUCAUGGUUUUAAAAAUAUCUCCACGGACGGUCCAAGUCUCAGGUUGGGCUGGAGGGGUGUUUAAUGCCUGCCUAUGCCAGGUGGAAAAUGUUUUCAUCAGCGUCCCGAGGCCCCGAGUGAUGGACGGCGGCUGGGUUGCGUGUGAGCGCUCAGCAGCACGUGUUUAAGAAAAAUGGGGGUGGGUGGCUAUUUCUUUGCUCAUUUUACCCCCUUUUUCUUUCUCUUUUAAUUACAUGUUCCUGAUGAGGAGGUGUGGUCCUUGGCACUGCCACCCAGGCUCCCCUCCACUUCGAACCACACGGAGAGGAGAAUUCAGAGGACUUCUCAGCACUUGGCUCCAUUCUUGGCAUCAACGGAAACAUAAACCCAGGGGCCAGCAGAGAGCGAAGGCUUCUGGAGAAUGAGGGGUUUAGAAGCCCAGUGAGUGUCUGGAGAGACUGGCUCUUCCCAAGGGUUUAUCUCUUGCUCUCUCCUGCCUUGCUCCCUUGCGUAAGAAGAGCACAGCUCGCCUGGCCAUUGUGGCUCAGUGUUUGAGGACUGACCUAUGAACCAGGAGGUUAUGGUUCAUUUCCUGGACAGGACACAUACCCGGGUUGCAACCUCAAUCCCUAAUGAGGGGUGUACAGGAGGCAGCUGAUCAAUGAUUCUCUCCAUCAUUGAUGUUUCUCUCUCUCCCUUUCCCUUCCUCUCUGAAAUCAAUAUUAAAUCAAUCCUAUAUAAUAAAAGCGUAAUAUGCUAAGUGUCUAA